UCUGUGGGCCUCAGGGAUGGAGUUUUGGCUCAAGAGUGUGGCUGCCUUGUUCUUCCGUCACCGUGUGGGGAACGGGGCCGUAGGGGAACCCACCGCCUGGGCCACAGCGAGGAGUAAAUGAGUCACAAUGUGAAUGGGACAGUGCCUGCCACAUCACAAGGACUCCAAUAUGAGCUACUUUUCAUAUUUCCUCAGCGUCCCCAGGGGCUGGUAUAAUGGCCAUCCCACAAGUAGUAGCCCAGUGGGUCUCACCGCCCUUGUCUUGGAGGCAAGAGGGGGAGGUGGGGAUCAGCUCCAAGGCCUUGAUUCUCAAAGCCUCUCCUGGGCCGGCAGCAGGCAACACAGUUGCGCUCCUUAGAAACGUGGAGUCUCGGCCCCACCCAAACCACGGAGCCAGACUCUUCCUUCACAGCACCCCCAGGGGCUUCAUGGCAUCCCGAGGUUGGAGGAACACGGCUCCUAGGCACCUUCCAGCCCUGGAGGGCUGGGAUUCCCUGCCCAGUCCUGGCUGCCUGGGUGCUCCGGUGUGACGGGGGUUGACAUGCUGCAGUGGGCCCGGCCGUGCUCCAUACACUCCCCCGAGCUCCCAGAUCUGGCUCACCUCCUGCCUACGGAUCCUGCUGCACCCUCCCCGGCCCCCGUGCCUGGCCACAGCAAUCCCCAUCAACCCAGUGACCCUGGGACCAGGAACCGACUUUGUCUCCUCUGACAUCCCCUUUCUGCCUGUCGUGACCCUCUCCACCUUGGAAGGUGUGGCUCCGAAGCCGCUACACUGGGCAUUCCUCCUUCAGCAUUGACGGAGAACCUGCUGUGUGCUGGGAUGCUGCACUUGCUCUCGGGGUGCUCAUGAGUUCCUGACCCAGGCUGCUUGGAUCAGAAGCACGUCCAGAGCUUUAAGGUGACAGCUCAAGGCCCCUUGUUUUAUUAUUGUAGUGUUUGGAUGGCAUGAGGCCCCCUGAUUCUCUAGCACUUAACCCAGCAGUAUCCGUCAUACACUGAGGGUCAUGGUCACAUGGUGAGGGUCACACACUGUGGGUCCUUAUAGUCCAUUUGGAUGAACAAAUGAACUUCUCUCUUCCCCUGUGUCUGUUUCUGAGUUCUCACCCUGGGGUCUGGACUCCAUCUCCCCCCAUGCUUCCAGAUGCUUCUGGAAUCCUAUUUCAGGCCAGAUGCUACUUGUCAGUGCAUCUCAAACUUUCACAGGCACGAGAAUCACCCAAGAUCUUGUCAGAAUGCAGACGCAGAUUCUCUCGGUCUGGGAUGGAGCCCAAGACUCUGCAUUUCUAACACGUUCCGGUUGGUGCGAGCCCCUGGCCCACACUUUGAGCAACAGAGAUCAGUUCUCACUUCUGAUUUCACCCGACAAUCCUUUGGGGGCUUUUGCAUGCUCAUGUCUGGGUCCUACCCCAGACCAACUGAACCAUGCAGAGGGGUGAGGUGGGGCCCCGGGUCUCCGGGUGAUUUCAACGUGCAGUCACAACCACCAGCCUAGGAGCGUGUAGAUGCAGGCGGUCAGGUUCUACUCCAGAGCUACUGUAUCAGAAAUGCUAGGAGUGAGGCACGGGAACGACGAGAACCACGGCUGCCCUAGGAAUGCCUGACCUUGGCUUCACCCAUCAGCUCCUACCUGCUCUUCCUGCCUCUUCAUUCAUUCUUUAUUUGGCCUAGAUAGUACAGUUCCGGAAACGCCAAUUUGGGUGGCUCAGUUGGUUAAGUGUCUGCCUUUAGCUCAGGUCAUGCUCCCA